rnacentral:rRNA from 1 species
GACGAACGCUGGCGGCGUGCUUAACACAUGCAAGUCGAACGGAAAGGCCCUGCUUUUGUGGGGUGCUCGAGUGGCGAACGGGUGAGUAACACGUGAGUAACCUGCCCUUGACUUUGGGAUAACUUCAGGAAACUGGGGUUAAUACCGGAUCGGAGCCCCCGCUGCAUGGUGGGGGUUGGAAAGUUUCGGCGGUUGGGGAUGGACUCGCGGCUUAUCAGCUUGUUGGUGGGGGAGUGGCUUACCAAGGCUUUGACGGGUAGCCGGCCUGAGAGGGUGACCGGCCACAUUGGGACUGCGAUACGGCCCAGACUCCUACGGGAGGCAGCAGUGGGGAAUAUUGCACAAUGGGCGGAAGCCUGAUGCAGCAACGCCGCGUGCGGGAUGACGGCCUUCGGGUUGUAAACCGCUUUCGCCUGUGACGAAGCGUGAGUGACGGUAAUGGGUAAAGAAGCACCGGCUAACUACGUG